rnacentral:rRNA from 1 species
GACGUAGGGCGCAAGCGUUGUCCGGAUUUAUUGGGCGUAAAGAGCUCGUAGACGGCUCGUUGCGUCGGCUGUGAAAACCCGCAGCUCAACUGUGGGCUUGCAGCCGAUACGGGCGGGCUGGAGUUCGGUAGGGGAGACUGGAAUUCCUGGUGUAGCGGUGAAAUGCGCAGAUAUCAGGAGGAACACCGGUGGCGAAGGCGGCAUCCUGGACCGGUAUUGACGCUGAGGCGCGAAAGCUAGGGGAGCAAACGGG